rnacentral:ncRNA from 1 species
ACCGGGACCCGGGGUACGGGGUCCGGACCUAGGUAAGGGUAACGGGUAACGGUAACCGUCCCGUAACGGUAAAGGGUAGGUUGGUUAACGUAAAACCUAACCUACCCGGACCCCGGGAACCGUAAGUAACGUAAACGUACCCGUCCCGUAAAAGUAAAAGGUAGGUAGGUCGGGCCGUCCUAACGAACGGUCGGUUUACCGUUUAACCUUAACUUUACCGUUCCCGGCCCCGACCUAGGUCGGGCCGAACGGAACCGGUUCCGGUUCGGGACGGUAAGGGUACGACGACGGUCGGGUGGGGGUUUUGUGACGAAGCCUUGGGCGUGAGCCUGGGUCGAACGGCCCCUAGUGCAGAUCUUGGUGGUAGUAGCAAAUAUUCAAAUGGGAACUUUGAAGACUGAAGUGGGGAAAGGUUCCGCGUCAACAGCAGUUGGACGCGGGUCAGUCGAUC